rnacentral:misc_RNA from 1 species
GUGAAUCAUCGAAUCUUUGAACGCGAAUUGCACUCCCUGGUAUUCCGGGGAGUAUGCCUGUUUGAGGGUCGUUAGAAUAAAAAAUCGAUGCGUCGCUCUUUUUUUUAAGGGUGAUCGCGUCGGAAUUAAGCCGUCUUUCAAAUGUUAAUUCAUUUCAAAGUGGCUGGAAUUUAUUCCUUCCGGUCCGAUU